rnacentral:rRNA from 1 species
CGCGUGCAGGAUGAAGGCUUCGGGUUGUAAACUGCUUUUGUACGGAACGAAACGGUUCGCCUUAAUACGGCGGGCUAAUGACGGUACCGUAAGAAUAAGCACCGGCUAACUACGUGCCAGCAGCCGCGGUAAUACGUAGGGUGCGAGCGUUAAUCGGAAUUACUGGGCGUAAAGCGUGCGCAGGCGGUUAUGCAAGACAGAUGUGAAAUCCCCGGGCUCAACCUGGGACCUGCAUUUGUGACUGCAUAGCUAGAGUACGGUAGAGGGGGAUGGAAUUCCGCGUGUAGCAGUGAAAUGCGUAGAUAUGCGGAGGAAACACCGAUGGCGAAGCAAUCCCCUGGACCUGUACUGACGCUCAUGCACGAAACGUGGGGAGCAAACAGGAUUAGAUACCCUGGUAGUCCACGCCCUAACGAUGUCACUGGUUGUUGGGUCUUCCUGACUCA